rnacentral:other from 1 species
ACAGCCCUGCCGUGUUCGUGAUUGGCCGUUUGUGUUUUGAGCCAACACAACGACCUGGGGAGCCUAACCUCUGCGCGUGGACGUAGACCUCCGUAUCGCUCCGCGGUUCCGGGAGGAAACGACAAGCGCGCAGGCGGCGCCCACCUGCCGAGAGCAGGUUCAAGACGGGCGGUCGCACGACACGGUGGGGAGCC